GACGAACGCUGGCGGCGUGCUUAACACAUGCAAGUCGAACGGAAAGGCCCUGCUUGCAGGGUGCUCGAGUGGCGAACGGGUGAGUAACACGUGGGUGAUCUGCCCCUUACUUUGGGAUAAGCCUGGGAAACUGGGUCUAAUACUGGAUAGGACCAUGCUGUAGGUGGUGUGGUGGAAAGAUUAGUUUCGGUAAGGGAUGAGCUCGCGGCCUAUCAGCUUGUUGGUGGGGUAAUGGCCUACCAAGGCGUCGACGGGUAGCCGGCCUGAGAGGGUGGACGGCCACAUUGGGACUGAGAUACGGCCCAGACUCCUACGGGAGGCAGCAGUGGGGAAUAGUGCACAAUGGGCGCAAGCCUGAUGCAGCGACGCCGCGUGGGGGAUGACGGCCUUCGGGUUGUAAACUCCUUGCAGCCAUGACGAAGCCCUUGUGGUGACGGUAGUGGUAGAAGAAGCACCGGCUAACUACGUG
rnacentral:rRNA from 1 species